UACGUAGGUGGCAAGCGUUGUCCGGAUUUACUGGGCGUAAAGAGCGCGCAGGCGGUCGUUCAAGUCGCGUGUGAAAGCCCCCGGCUCAACUGGGGAGGGUCACGCGAUACUGAUCGACUCGAAGGCAGGAGAGGGAAGUGGAAUUCCCGGUGUAGUGGUGAAAUGCGUAGAUAUCGGGGAGGAACACCAGUGGCGAAGGCGACUUCCUGGCCUGUUCUUGACGCUGAGGCGCGAAAGCUAGGGGAGCAAACGGGG
rnacentral:rRNA from 1 species